rnacentral:rRNA from 1 species
UACGUAGGGGGCAAGCGUUGUCCGGAAUCAUUGGGCGUAAAGAGCGUGUAGGCGGUUCGGUAAGUCGGCUGUGAAAGUCCAGGGCUCAACCCCGGGCCUGCAGUCGAUACGGGCAGACUAGAGUGCGGUAGGGGAGACUGGAAUUCCUGGUGUAGCGGUGAAAUGCGCAGAUAUCAGGAGGAACACCGGUGGCGAAGGCGGGUCUCUGGGCCGUAACUGACGCUGAGGAGCGAAAGCGUGGGGAGCGAACAGG